GAAAGGCUGAAACUGAGAGUCACAUCUGUAUGGUUUGAUAUCACAAUCAUGCAAAGCAUCUAGGCAACAAACAUUUAUUUCACUCACUUGCUUCCAUUCAAUCACUAUGUACACUUGUCUAGCCUAUUUCGGCAACUUGAAACUAAAAGAUAGGAGUAAGACUUUCUUCCAAGUGUAGUCUGCGUCCAUUGUCUGUCUUGUACGCAACUAUAAUCAUAAACACCACAAAAAUCUCGUUCCAAGUUUAACAUAUUUUAUUCAUCUCUUCUCUCAUUGCCAUGCAUGUCCUUCAUCCUCGGACUCAAACACCAUUAUUUCACACCGAGGUUGCACAAAUAGAAGGUGUUAUUCCCCAAAUCGCCAUGGGCCUAGCCAUAUGCUCCUAUUUAGAUAUGGAUCAUUAAAGUGGGCUUAAUCCUUUCUAUUAAGGAGACCGGACCAAGUCUUUUGAACUCAUCAUUCUGCUAGACCAUCUCAUCAAUGAGCAUCCACUACUUAGAAGUUAUAUGAAGACUUUACGCUCUGAGGGAUCACCAGGGUCAUCAUCUCUCAGAAUUACCCCCCAUAAGUCAUCGCCUUGAGGGAUCGUGGCCUUAGAGGGUCAAUGCCCACAGGGUCGUUACAAGUAUCAUUGGUGAGCCUAGGGGUCGCUACCCCUUGGUCUCGUUAGCUCAUGGCCUCCUUCACCUUGGGUCAUCAUACAAUCAAGGUUGCUAGCCCAGGAGUCUGUUAGAAUUAAUAUAAAUAUUAUUUUUAAAAGUUUGUUUUAAAAGAAAAAAUCUUCAAAACCCUUCAGUUUAAAGUUUUUUAUUUUGGAGCCUUUUUACUUUCGUGAAUUAAUGGUGUCUUUUUGGCCAUUCUUGAAGGUACACGUUCUAGCUCUUAUAAAAGAAGGUCUUUCCAGCUCAUUUUUGUAUACGCGAAAAACAAUAUCCUCUCAUAUAAAAUUCAGUAUAUUUUUUGGGUAAUGAUCAAGAGUGACUUCAAUCUAUUUCUUUGUACUACAUUAAAGAAAUAGAAGUCGUGUAAUCCUGGAGGUUGAUUGCUAAGAGGCCGUGUGUAUAUAGCGGGGCAAAUUCAACUUUAGGGCAAUGUUGAUUCACGCCACGAUUCCUACAUUUUUCUCAAGUCUUUUUUGGUUUGCUUUCACUUCUUUUCCUAUAGGGUCAUCACCCUUGGGCUCAUUCUCCAGGCUCUCAGGCCUCAUCAUCUCUACCACGUGUCAGCCUUAUUUAAGGGGCCACCCACUUUAUUUUACUAAAUCCUUUUGUGGGCUCUCACAAGGGAUACGCCCUCUAUUUCGGGUUCCCUCACCACAUAAGAGGAUAAUUGGG
rnacentral:lncRNA from 1 species